rnacentral:misc_RNA from 1 species
ACAGGCCAAAUGUAUUGGUUUUACGUGGGCGUACGGUGUAAUAUAUAAAUCAUAAAUCACGGUGAACCAGAAAAUAUAUCACGAUAAGCGGACAGGUUACGUUAUGUGAUGUACAUAUGUCAUAAGAAGAAGGAAGCUCUCACAUCGCUAAAGUGAUGUGAUUCAAAUCGUUUUGACAGAAUGCAUGGUGACCGAUUGUUUGAUAUAAAUGGAAUUCUACCGUAACAACAAGUGCAGCUGGUUACCGAACGCAUUCGACUGUUCUGCAUAUAAGAAGAGAAUGAGGUCGUUCGGGAAGAGAUACGGAAGGAUGAUUGACGAAGACCUACCGCAACCUUCGCUUGGAUCUGUUCAGCUAAAUUCGCCUAUAUGCCGACACUUGUCAGGUUCAGUGGAUAUUUCGAGGCGUUGUUACUGAUGAUACCAGAAUGGCGCUUGCAAACCGCAAUGACAACCACGCACCAGGUUGGCUGAAAUGACACCGCAGUGUCGGUGCUAUGAAUACUGCUGCUGUUGUGGCUAACGAGAGCAUUUAAGAUCUGACGGUCCUUUAGACACCAGUCGUUGAGGCUUAUGUUACCAUUUCUAGCCAUGAAAAGUCCAUUUCUUCUUUCUUCCAGAACCUAAGCUUUCUUUUCAUAUCCUGCGCUGUGAAAUCCAUUUCUAUUUUUUAUUACCUCCCGUACUUUUCAUUUUAAGAUUAUUAUACUCCAAUUUUUAAUAAACUUCACAAUGAGAGGUUAAGGAAUCUUCUGCAAAUUGACUUCCUCCUUUUCGACCGAAUUCAAGUAAUCGUGGUUCUAUUAACGAAAAUAUAUUUCACAUCUGUUCACAUUUAUUCGAAACUUGUACGAAAUCCUAUUCACUUUACAUCUACGACCAUUUCUUCCUUGGCAAAAUCUCUAUUUAUAAAUUUCUUUUAAACGAAAUAGCAAUGUAGUGUAAAAUAUUCGUUUCUUUUUAUAGUAUCAAAAAAUGAGAGAGGAGGUUUUUAGAGAACAAAUAAUGAUACCGAAUCCUUUCCUUCAUAAUAAUUGCAACCUUCAAGCAACUGAAAUGUUAUUUUAUUCUCAACCACGAAGUAAACAAUUUUCUUUAAAUAAGUCAUUUGAAAUAUUAUAGAAACAUUCUCGUUAAUCCUAACUACAUCAUUAAUUAUUUACAUUAAUUUAAUAUCAGACAUCGUGAGACGCAUAUUCAAACAUGUUUUAUUGUUAAUGUUAAAACAGCUUUAACUCAUAUUUUAUAGCAAAGAACACGAUAGCCAAGGCAGCAUCUCUUUUGCGUAAGAAACUGUUAAUUGGUCCGUAUCUAGUUAGGAAAUGUACACAUUAAGAGAUGAGCACGGUGUGCUGAGAUCGUAUUUGUUUGCUCACAUUGUAUGGCGAGUAGUAUAAAUCAAACUGCAUGUUAUCAUCUCUCGCUGCGUCAUCGGUCAAUCUCAAUAUUUGCAAAUAUAAUGCAAUGUGCAAAGCAUUUGUGCUUGUGCUCAGAUCAGAGGAUACGUGUGUAUGUUGUCUUGGAACAUGUUACGUGC